CCUACGGGGAGCAGCAGUGGGGAAUAUUGGACAAUGGGCGAAAGCCUGAUCCAGCCAUGCCGCGUGUGUGAAGAAGGCCUUCGGGUUGUAAAGCACUUUCAGUGGGGAAGAAAGCCUUGGGGCUAAUACCCUCGAGGAAGGACAUCACCCACAGAAGAAGCACCGGCUAACUCAGUGCCAGCAGCCGCGGUAAUACGGAGGGUGCGAGCGUUAAUCGGAAUUACUGGGCGUAAAGCGCGCGUAGGCGGUCUGAUAAGCCGGUUGUGAAAGCCCCGGGCUCAACCUGGGAACGGCAUCCGGAACUGUCAGGCUAGAGUGCAGGAGAGGAAGGUAGAAUUCCCGGUGUAGCGGUGAAAUGCGUAGAGAUCGGGAGGAAUACCAGUGGCGAAGGCGGCCUUCUGGACUGACACUGACGCUGAGGUGCGAAAGCGUGGGUAGCAAACAGGAUUAGAUACCCUGGUAGUC
rnacentral:rRNA from 1 species